rnacentral:tRNA from 1 species
CAGAGAAUAGUUUAAUAAAAAUUUUAAUUUUGGAGAUUAAGGAUAGAAGGAAUUUUUUUUCUCUGA